rnacentral:rRNA from 1 species
UACGGAGGGUGCAAGCGUUAUCCGGAUUCACUGGGUUUAAAGGGUGCGUAGGAGGGCAGGUAAGUCAGUGGUGAAAUCCCCGAGCUUAACUUGGGAACUGCCGUUGAUACUAUCUGUCUUGAAUGUUGUGGAGGUGAGCGGAAUAUGUCAUGUAGCGGUGAAAUGCUUAGAUAUGACAUAGAACACCAAUUGCGAAGGCAGCUCGCUACACAGUUAUUGACUCUGAGGCACGAAAGCGUGGGGAUCAAACAGG